UCCUACGGGAGGCAGCAGUAAGGAAUAUUGCACAAUGGAGGAAACUCUGAUGCAGCGAUGCCGCGUGAGUGAAGAAGGCCCUUGGGUUGUAAAACUCUUUCGUCGAGGAAGAAAAUGACUGUACUCGAAUAAGAAGGUCCGGCUAACUUCGUGCCAGCAGCCGCGGUAAUACGAAGGGACCUAGCGUAGUUCGGAAUUACUGGGCUUAAAGAGCUCGUAGGUGGUUAAAAAAGUUGAUGGUGAAAUCCCAAGGCCCAACCUUGGAACUGCCAUCAAAACUUUUUAGCUGGAGUAUGAUAGAGGAAAGUGGAAUUUCUAGUGUAGAGGUGAAAUUCGUAGAUAUUAGAAAGAACAUCAAAAGCGAAGGCAACUUUCUGGAUCAUUACUGACACUGAGGAGCGAAAGCAUGGGUAGCGAAGAGGAUUAGAUACCCUCGUAGUCCAUGCCGUAAACGAUGUGUGCUAGACGUUGGAAAUUUAUUUUUCAGUGUCGCAGCGAAAGCAUUAAGCACACCGCCUGGGGAGUACGACCGCAAGGUUAAAACUCAAAUGAAUUGACGG
rnacentral:rRNA from 1 species